UACGUAGGGUGCAAGCGUUGUCCGGAAUUAUUGGGCGUAAAGAGCUCGUAGGCGGUUUGUCGCGUCUGCUGUGAAAACUCGGGGCUUAACCCCGGGCCUGCAGUGGGUACGGGCAGACUAGAGUGCGGUAGGGGAGACUGGAAUUCAUGGUGUAGCAGUGAAAUGCGUAGAGAUCAUGAGGAAGACCAGUGGCGAAGGCGGGUCUCUGGACAGUUCCUGACACUGAGGCACGAAGGCCAGGGGAGCAAACGGG
rnacentral:rRNA from 1 species